ACUGCAAAUAUCAGAUGAUGAACAGCAUGGUUGCAGUGCUGGGCCAGCCAGAGGACCACCUGCUCCGUGCUGGCAAGUACAGCCAGCAGUUCUUCAUUGAAGAGGAGGCUGGAGCUACUUCAUCAUGGAGACUGAUGACGGCAGAAGAAUUUACUGUGGCAAACCACAUGRGCCCAGAGAAACCCGACCUCUUUAUCAAUGGGCUGACCUCUCUAWAYGAUYUG